ensembl:lncRNA
CUGCCUCUCCUGCGUUGGCAUGUGGAUUCUUUACCACUGAGCCACCUGGGAAACCCCAGCUAAGAAGCCUACUGCUGCUGCUGCUGCUGCUGUCAUCCUCAAAGACAUUUCUUACAAAGAAAACCUGCGGCCAAACUCUCAAAAGAAUGAAACCUUCAUCCUGAUUUCACAGUGAUUGGGCCAGAAGCUUGGAAGUUCAGGAAGGGAACUGGGGCUUUGAUAGGAUUGUCACAGGCUGCGAAAACAUAGGAAAUGUUUAGUCAGAAGGAACGGAAACACAGUGUACGGAUGGAAAUCUGAUCUCUGCAGACCUAUCUUUAUCAUAGCUCGGGGCAGGGUGGUGUGGGAGAAGCAAAUCUAAAACCAGCAGACUGUUAAAACAGAACUGUAAUGGGCCAAAACCCUUCCUCAGGACAGAAACCUCCCGUCCUGCACACAGUGUACACCUGUGCAGGCCAGGAACCAAGGCAUUCAGGCUCUUAAGCACCCCGGGCUGGAACAUACUCUUCUCACAAGGUGCACCUGAGAGCUUUCUGGAGGGCUUUCUCACUGUUUCUGAUGACUCCUAGGAAUGUUCAGGCUUGAGCUCUGGGUGCAAAGAGACCAUGUUCCAAGUCAGUGUCCCAUAACGAAAGAGAAGGGAGAAAAAGGCCAUAACCAGCCUGGCUCCAAAGAGGAUUGGGGGACAGGAAGGAUGGGAGCUCCAGGGAAGUCUGGGCCCCACAUUCCUUUCUGAACUUCCCUCUGAAGCUCCCGGGGUGGGCAGGACCACCCAUCUGCCUAUCAAAGGCUGAAAUUCAGAGCCUGAGCCAAACAGCAAGAAAGGCUUCUUUACCAUGUUAUUUUGCAAAGUAAAUACAUCUUUACAGAGGAGACUUGCUCUUACAAGUCCCCAUACCACCUGCUAUAGAGGUCGAAGGGGAGCUGCUGUUCUCAGGACUAGAUGUUGAUUCAAUCCUGAUGGACUCGAUUAGGAUUCAGUCAUUCUCAACAGAUCCUUUUGUGCCUGAAAAACACUGCAUUAAGCUGUCUCUCUGGACUCUUUAUAGAUGAACCUCGAGACUGAGUCUGACUUCUCUGUGUGUCUUUUGAUGAAAGUCCUAGAACACAGAGGAGGCAAGAGCAGGUUCUGGAAAUUAGGAUGCAGCUAUCUCUAAGAGAGACUUCAUUCUACCUUCACCCUAGGCGUAUGAAGAACCAGGAAAUCUCAGCUCACGUGAAAACAAUCAGCAGAUGCCAAUGCUAAGGUGAUGCAGAUGUUGGAAUUUUCUGACAAAGACUUUAAAACAAAUAUUAUGAAAUAUUCCACAGAGCAAGGGACAGCACUCUUGAAUGGAAAGAGAAAGUGUUGGCAGGGAAACCGAAAGUAUAAAUAAGAUCCAAAUGUAAAUUUUAGAAUUAAAACAUACAAUAGCUGAAAUUCUAAAACCUAGAUAAACCAAUUGAAAUUAUUCAAUCUGAACAACAUAGAAAAAGAUUUUUUUAACAGAGCCUCAGGGACCAGUGAGAUUAUACCAAGAUGUCUUAACGUUCAUGUCAUUCAAGUCUCAGAAGAAGAGAAAAAAAUACGAGGCAGAAAAAAAAUACUAGAAACAAUAAUGACGGAAAACUUCCCAUAUUUGGCAAAAGACAAAAACCUACAGAUUCAAGAAUCUCAGAGAACUCCAAAUGGGAAAAACACAAAAAAUCCAUGACUAGACAUAUCAUACGGAGAAGGCAAUGGCAACCCAUUCCAGUACUCUUGCCUGGCAAAUCCCAUGGACGGAGGAGCCUGGUAGGCUGUAGUUCAUGGGGUUGCUAGGAGUCAGACACAAUUGAGCAACUUCACUUUCACUUUUCAGUUUCAUGCAUUGGAGAAGGAAAUGGCAACCCACUCCAGUGUUCUUGCCUGGAGAAUCCCAGGGACGGGGGAGCCUGAUGGGCUGCCAUCUCUGGGGUCACACAGAGUCAGACACGAGUGAAGCGACUUAGCAGCAGCGGCAGCAGACAUAUCAUAAUCAAACUGCUAAAAACCAAGAUGAAAAAAACUAUUGAAAGAAGCCAGAAAGAUGAUAUACUGUCUAUAAGAAAAUAAUUCAAACAAUUGUAGAUUUCUUAUAAAAAAUCAGGAAUAUGCAAAUAUAAAUAAGCUGCAAACUUUUGCCCAUCAAAUUAGCAGAAAGUGUUGAAAUCAUUACUAUCUAGUGUUAGGAUACAAAAAUAUGUUAGUGGCAAAAGAAAUAAAGACAACAUUUAUUUAAAAAAAAAACAAAACAACAACAUUUAUGAGCUUCCCUGAUAGCUCAGUUGGUAAAGAAUCCGCCUGUAGUGCAGAAGACCCAGGUUUGAUUCCUGGGUCGGGAAGAUCCUCUGGAGAAGGGAUAGGCUACCCACUCCAGUAUUCUUGGGCUUCCUUGUGGCUCAGCUGGUAAAAAAUUUGCCUUCAAUAUGGGAUAUCUGGGUUCGAUCCCUGGGUUGGGAAGAUACUCAGGAGAAGGGAAAGGCUACCCACUCCAAUAUUCUGGCCUGGAGAAUUCCAUGGACUGUAUAAUCUAUGGGGUCACAAAGAGCUGGACACGACUGAACAACUUUCACUUCACUUUAUAAAAAACAAUUAGGUAUCAUCUACCAAAACUUUAAAUCUGUAUACCUUUUAAUCCUCAAUUCCACUUCUGAAAAUUUAUCCUACAGAAAUAUUGUAUCAGUGCUCAAAGAUGUUUUAUUGUGGCCUUGUGUGUAAUGGCAAAUAAAUACAUUAAUAAACACUAUAAACAAUUAGUGAUGAACUAUUACUUAAAUAAAUUAUAGAAUACCACACUAUUAGAAUAUAAUAUGGGGCUUCCCAGGGAGCUCAGCUGGCAAAGAAUCUGUCUGCAAUGCAGGAGACCCCAGUUCAAUUCCUGGGUCAGGAAGAAGGGAGAAGGGAUAUCCCCCCUGGAGAAGGAAUAGGCUACCCACUCCAGUAUUCUUGGGCUUCCCUGGUGGCUCAGAUGGUAAAGAAUCUGCCUGCAAUGUGGGAGACCUGGGUUUGAUCCCUGGGUUGGUAAGAUCCCCUGGAGGAGGGCAUGGCAACCCACUCCAGUAUUCUUGCCUGGAGAAUCCCCAUGGACAGAGGAGCCUAGAAGGCUAUAGUCCAUGGGGUCACAGAGAGUUGCACACAACUGGGCGACUAAGCACAGCACAGCACAGAAUAUAAUAUAACCUUUUAGAACAAUUAUAUUGGAGCCAAGUCUAUUGGCGUUGAAAGAACACAUGAUGUAAAUGUGAAAGGAUAAAAUGUUUGUUCCCCUUGGUCGGGAAACUAAGAUCUCACGUGCAACGCAGCCAAAAAACAAAAGUUGAUUUGUCAUAGGUUGAGCAACACUUAUGCGAAGGGUGUUGAUUAAACCAUCGUUGUCAAAGAAUACAUGGUAUGAAUGUUAAGUGAUAAAGACAUUUGUCAAAUACACACAAACUGGGUUUUGUAAUUGUAUAUGUGUGUGAUUAUAAUUGACGGGAAAGAUUUAGAAAGAUAAAAACCCAACUGAUAUCAGCAGUUGCUUCUGAGGAAUAAGAUAAGAAUAGAAUAGGUACUUGUGCUUUUUACUUCCUGUGUGAAUAUGUGUGGGUGGUUUAGCAAAGGACGAUUAUCAUUAUUGACAUUUUAAAACAUGGUAAAAGGCCUAUCCAUAUAAGUCAUAGCAAUACUCUCUAGAGUUCUCCUAAGAAAUUAACUAGCUCGUCUUUUACUGUUUGCUGGGAAUUUGGCAUUUUAUUCACUGUCCUUAAGGAAACCCAAACAACAUAUUCAGCAUCUCCUAGUGUAUAAGUUUUCUACUGCUGUAUAGUGAAUUAUCUCAAAACAACAAAAUUUAUUAUCUGAUGUAGUUUCUGGGGAUCAGGAACCCAAGAGUAUCUUGGCUGGGUGCUUCCAGCCAGGGUUUCUCAUGAAACUAUAGUCAUCUGCAGGUUUGAUCGGGAAAGGAGGGUCCACUCACCGGUCCCUCCCAUAGCUGUCAGUAAGAGGACUUGUUUCCGCGCUGGCUGUGGUCAGAGACUGCAUUCUCCAUCACACCGUCUUCAUUGUAGUCUGCUCACAGCUGGCAACUGACCUUCCCUCAAGUGAUUGGUUAAAGAUUUGAGUGACCAAGAUGGAAACCGCAAUGGCUUUUAUAACCUCAUCUUAGAAGUGACAUACGGUUACUUCUGCUAUAGUCCACUGGUCACACAGACUUACCCUGCUACAAAUAUGGUGGGAGAAUACACAGGAAUGUGGGUACCAGAAGUCAGGGAUCACUGAGGGCUCUCUUGAGGUCUCACUACACAGUUAAAUUUUUCCCCGCUGUCUCCCCUUCCUAAGUUCAUAGACCUUCUAAGAGGUUAUAAAGUACAACUCUAUCCCUACAGCAUUACUGGUGAAUUCAGGGGUCCUGGAGCAUCCAGCCUUCCACGGAAAGAGAACCCUAUGGAGUAAUAGGAAACUCCCACUCACAGAGACCCAACCUUUUCCUGUGAACAAGAGAGUUUGAUUCCCCUGAAGUGUGAUGGGCUUUCCUGAUGACUCAGGCAGUAAAGAAUCUGUCUGCAAUGCAGGAGACCUGGGUUCAAUCCCUGGUCUGGAAGAGACCCUGGAGAAGCAAAUGGCAGUCCACUCCAAUAUUCUUGCCUGGAAGAUCCAGUGAGAAGGGAAUGGCAACCCACUUCAGUAUUCUUGAUGGAGAAUUCCACAGACAGAAGAGCCUAGUGAGCUACAGUCCAUAGGAUUGCAAACAGUUGGACAUAACAGAGUUACUAACAAAUUGUGAUAAUUGGGCUUCCCUGGUGGCUCAGACAGUAAAGAAUCUCCCUGUAAUGCAGAAGACCUGGGUUCGAUCCUCAGGUCAGGAAGAUGCCCUGGAGAAGGGAAUGGCUACCCACUCCAGUAUUCUUGCCUGGAGAGUUCCAUGGACAGAGGAGCCUGGGGAGCUAUAGUCCAUGGGGUCGGACACGACUGAGUGACUAACACUCUCACUUUUUCAAAGUACGAUCAUUAAGAAGAGUUGGGAAAACUACAAAUGUCAAUAAUUGGUCAAAGACAAAAACAUGAGAACAGCCAGGUGCCUCAAAGACAAUCCCUUCAACAGGUGCUCACACCAUUUGCUCCCACUCUUCGGCCCAAACUGUCAUCUUUAUAAUUCAGAACAGUUGUUUCUUCUCCCGAGUGAAAAUUCCCAUAAGCCAUGGAGACAAGGAAGUGGAAAUGCUUGCCAGCUUAUAUUGAUAAAUCAAUAUAAAUUAAUGAAACUCAACUGCUACUGAGAAAAUAUUAGCAGGCAAUCGAUAAAAUGUGGAGGUUAAAGUAUACCUAUGUCUCUACACAAGAACAAUAUGAAGUACUCCAAGGCACAGCAUAACUGAGAAUUUGGAAAAGAAUUUUCUAAUAUGUACCUGCUUGCAAAAGAUGUGUAUUAUAUUUCCUAGGGGUAUAUGUGAAGUAUACUGAAUAGCUUGCUGCUAUUGCUGCUAAGUCACUUCAGUUGUGUCCGACUCUGUGCGACCCCAUAGACGGCAGCCCACCAGGAUUCUCCUGGCAAGAACACUGGAGUGGGUUGCCAUUUCCUUCUCCAAUGCACAAAAGUGAAAAGUCAAAGUGAAGUCGCUCAGUCAUGUCCGACCCUCAGCGACCCCAUGGACUGCAGCCUACCAGGCUUCUCCAUCCAUGGAAUUUUCCAGGCAAGAGUACUGGAGUGGGAUGCCAUUGUCUUCUCCACUGAAUAGCUUAGGUUUAGCCAAACAUUUAAGUCUUUCAUAAUAGCCUUUUAGAUAUGAUAGAAAAAUAAAAAGAGUUGAUUCAGGGGGCUUCCCUGAUGGUCCAGUGGUUUAAGAGUCCAUGCUCCCACUGUAGGGAGCACCAGUUCAAUCCCUGGUCCUGUACCCUGUAUAGGGAACUAAGAUCCCACAUGCCGCUCAGCCAGAAAAAAAAAAAAAAAAAAGUUGAUUCAUCAUAGGUUGAGCGACCCUUAUGCAAAAUGUUGAUUAAAUCAUUGUUGUCAACCUGAAAGCAAUAACAUGCCUCAGGGUUUUGAAUGUCUCAUUCAACACUCUUAUAAACUAUUUGGACAAAGGCAAAGAAAAUAGACUCAUUGUAUUUUCAAGUAUUAUCAUGUUAGGAGAGUCAAGGAGGCAAAUAAUAACAUCAGAAUUCUCAAAGGUCUCCAAAAGAUAGAAAUGAUAGGCCAGAACCCACGGCAGAAGAAUGAGUGGGAAGGAAGUGGCAUAAAAUCUGCCCAAGUACAAAAAUGAGACCUGGCACAAUAUCAGUUAAUGCAGGAAAGCUUUAAGUGAGCUGCAGUUCAAUAUGAGUCAGCAGCUUGCCAAUUCUGCCCAAGAGGCAAUACAAAAAAUUAGCCUGCAUUGUAAAAGAAAUAUAGAGCUCAGAACCAGGGAGAACUGAUCUGAUGAACCCCACACUGUGAAUACAUGGAUUCCUGGAAUGAUGGACAGAUUCCUGUAUGACCACAUGUAUCUUCUAAUUCCGAGAUUGCGCAGUUCUCUUUAUAACAUGUCCCUGAAUGACCAAUCUAGUUAUUCUAUCCCCUACCAAAGGAAGUGAGUUUGUCUCAUUCUUUUCUUUAGUCAUUCAAGCAAUGUUUAUUGGGGGAAAAAAAAUUGUUUGCCAGGUACCCUGCUAAAAGCCAGGAACAUAAAGAUGCUUCUUAGCAUACACAUAACGUUUUCCCAGUUAGUCGUCCAAACACUAAUAUAGGUGAUGAUGUGAUGGAAUUUGGUUAUUGCAGUCAAGGUUCCAGAUCAGUUGAACUUGAGAAAGAGAAAUUAUCUGAAUGGACCUGACCUAAUCACAUAAACACUUUAAAAGCAGAGAGUUUUUGAUGGCUGGUGGGAGAGUUUAAGUUAGAGGUUCAAAGCAUGGGAAGGAUCUGAUGCACCUUUGCUGGUCACGAGGUAAGGAGUGUGUGUGGCCGCUAGAUGCUAUGAAUGGCCCCCAGCUAACGAGCCUGCAAGGAAACAGAAUAUUAUAACCUCUAGGAGAUGAAUUUAACCACAAGGAUGAGCUUGGAAGAGAACCCCAGAGGAGACCUGCAGCCCUAAUCAACACUUGGAUUUCAGCCCAGUGAGACAUUGAGCAGAGCAUCCAGGCCACUAUGUCCAGACUUCUGACCUGCAGAAACUGUGAGAGGCUCCAAGGCAAAUUCCUCAUCUGGAGAUAUAAUGCUCAUUAACUCAUCAACCAUCUGCCUUAGGACAUUGAACCUUGAGGGCACUAGUUCAUAUUCAGACGUUGUGGACAGUAGAUGCAACACUGUCUUAUUACCAUGUGAGAUGACUCAUUCAUCCCUGUGGGAUCUCUAAAUUUCCACCUGGACAAGCAAUAAAUCUUCUGAUUUGCUUUUCAAGUGGUUCUUGGUUCUUUUAAUUUUUUUUUUAAGUCCCAAAUGACAGCUAUUUCUUUAUUUUUGUCAUAGCUCUUGAUUAAAAAAUAAUAAUGAUAAUUACCUGAGCUCACCUAUGAAGACUUGGCUUUGGACUUACCUGGUAGUCCAGUGGUUAAGAAUCCACCUGCCAAUGCAGGGGAAACAGGUUCUAUCCCUGGUCAGGGAAGAUUCCACAUGCCAAGGGGCAACGAAGCCUAUGAGCCACAGCUACUGAGCCUGCGCUCUAGAGUCCUUGGGCCACAACUACUGAGCCCACGCACCGUAAGGAAUGAAGCCCCACAUGCUCUAGAGCCUGAGCGCUGCAACUCCUGAAGCCCAAGCCGUGGGGCCCAUGCUCUGCAACAGACGAAGCCACUGCAAUGAGAAGCCGGCCUCCACGACCAGAGAAAGCCCAAUAACGAAGACCCAGUGCAGCCGUAUAUACAUUUAUUUUUUUAUUGUAUAUAAAUAUAUAUAUAUAUUUGUCUUUAACUGGUUACCAGUGAGACCCAGGCACUGAUUUGCUUAGUUUUUUUUUUUAAUCUUGUUUGCUAAUUCUAAUGCUCAGCCAGGGUUGACAGCAACUAAUUUAAUCUCUGAAUCUUUGCUCUAUGACAUAUUUAGCAUCUCUGAUUUAUCUGAGGCCAAGUCUUCGGUCAAGAAUGCAACAUCCAGGACUUCCUUGGUGGUCCAGUUGCUGAGACUCUGUUUCCAUUGCAGGGGGAUGGGUUUGAUCCCUGGUUGGAGAACUAAGAUCCCUCAGGCACACUGUGUGGCUAAUAAAAAAAAAAGUUAAAUAAAAAUACUUUAAAAAAGG